rnacentral:rRNA from 1 species
GGGGGGGGGGGGGGGGGGGGGGGGGGGGGGGGGGGGGGGGGGGGGGAGGCCUGCGGGGGCGGGCGAGUGGCGGACGGGGGCGUGGUGGCGGGGGACGGGCGCGGAGGGGGGGGGUGGCGCAGCGGAGGCUGUGCUGAUCCCGCAGGUGAUCUGGGGGGGGAAGCGGGGGACCCCGCAGCAAGGGUUGGCCUCGCGCCUCUGGGGCGGCCGAUGUCAGAUUAGGUAGUGGGUGGGGGAAAGGCCUACCCAGCCGACGAUCUGUAGCUGGUCUGAGAGGACGACCAGCCACACUGGGACUGCGCCACGGCCCAGACUCCUACGGGAGGCAGCAGUGGGGAAUUGUGGACAAUGGGCGCAAGCCUGAUCCAGCAAUGCCGCGUGCGGGAAGAAGGCCUUCGGGUUGUAAACCGCUUUUGUACGGAACGAAAAGGCUCUGGCUAAUACCUGGGGCUGAUGACGGUACCGUAAGAAUAAGCACCGGCUAACUACGUG